AUUGAACGCUGGCGGCAUGCCUUACACAUGCAAGUCGAACGGUAACGGGCCUUCGGGUGCCGACGAGUGGCGAGCGGGUGAGUAAUACAUCGGAACGUGCCCGAUCGUGGGGGAUAACGAGGCGAAAGCUUUGCUAAUACCGCAUACGAUCUACGGAUGAAAGCAGGGGACCGCAAGGCCUUGCGCGGACGGAGCGGCCGAUGGCAGAUUAGGUAGUUGGUGGGAUAAAAGCUUACCAAGCCGACGAUCUGUAGCUAGUCUGAGAGGAUGAUCAGCCACACUGGGACUGAGACACGGCCCAGACUCCUACGGGAGGCAGCAGUGGGGAAUUUUGGACAAUGGGCGCAAGCCUGAUCCAGCCAUGCCGCGUGCAGGAUGAAGGCCUUCGGGUUGUAAACUGCUUUUGUACGGAACGAAAAGCCUUCUUUUAAUACAGGAGGGUCAUGACGGUACCGUAAGAAUAAGCACCGGCUAACUACGUG
rnacentral:rRNA from 1 species